UUAGUUGUCUAAAAUUAAGACAAUAGGGAAAACACGUUUCUAAAACUAUAUUUUUUCCCUCUAGUCUUUUAUUUUCUUCUAUCACUAAGCUCUACAUGUCUUUGCUUCCCCGACGGCUGGCUCUUGCGAAGCGUUCAUGGUGUGCAUGAUCAAUGGCCGGAUCGCGGGAAGGAAUGGAGGGAUUUUAUUUAACCUACAAAAUCCUCCCAUAUUUUCUCAUCCGGAUAGCAGAGGCAGGAGCUACAGGGGAAGCAGGAGCACCGGGAGCAGAGGCAACAAAGGAAGCGUUUAUUCAGAAUCUCCAGAUCCUGAAGCAUCUGUUGAUUUGGAACCUCCAGAUCCAACUGAUGUCAUUUUGUGUACUGGUUUUCCAGCUCCAGAUCGAGGGGUUUAGAGAUCUUAAACAAUUUUCGAUGCCAUAGCCGGCCCAAGGGUUGAAUCAGGUUUUACUUGAUAUUUCAGAUUUCUUUGAGCAUUAGAAAAGAGAUUCGGUAUUGUCAAUUGCAAAGACAUAUUCAACUUUGUCAUUGUCCUCCUUCAAUAGCACCGACUUCAUGUACCAAAUCUAAGAUUAUUGUAUAUCAGCCAGAGGCCAAGCUUUUUGACACUACUACUCCCACGGUUAUUCUACCUCAACAAUUCUACUAGGCUAUUUUUCUGGUGUUUAUACGAUAUGGCUGACGAGGGAAAUAAUACAUCAUCAUCCUCUGAAUAUUCAGAUGAGCGAGCAGCACGACCAGCUCCAAGGAAAAAUGAAUACUUCAAUGAAAUGAUAUAUUGCACUUUCAAUAGGUGCCAAAAUAGGAAACUAAAGAAGCGGCGACUUAUUGGUAUCCAUAGAUUGAACUAUGGGGUUUAUAUAGAAGAGGUACACUAUAAUUAACAAAUUAUUAUUCUUAUAAUAAAUAAAGGUUCACAUUAUUCAAUACAUUAUUAUUGAUCAUUUCAAUUGGUUUUUUGAUAAAAAGUCGCUUCCAGUUCACAAUAUUCCUGAAGAUCCAACAGAUGUCACCGAUGAUAGCCACUCUCAAGAUGAAGAACAAGACACAUUUAUGGAUUAAUCCACUUCACAGAUAAAUGAGGUUGGUGUUGAUGAAUUCAUCAAAGACCUCUACACAUCUUUUGAAGAAGUUAUUGAUUCCCCCCUAGAUCAGUUGGCUAGGAGGCCUGUUUUCUCAAAUGCAAAUACUUCUAUAUUGGCAACACUUAUGUUGUUGUUGAAUUUGAAGGUUACACAUAGAUUGACAAAUACAUUCUUUGUUGAUAUAUUAAGGUAGGAUUUGAUAUUCGUAUAAAUUAAUGCUCUUGAUGUCUUGAUUUUUUUUAAUAAUGUGUAUACUUAUCUUAUAAAAAUCAUUUGUUGCAUCAUGUAGGCUUUUAGCAAACAAAAUACUUCCAAAGGAUAAUAAGUUGCCUCAUUCACAUAGAGAAGUAUCUUCGGUAAUGAAAGAUAUUGGAAUGGAGUACAAUACAUAUGAUGCAUGUCCAAAUGACCAUAUAUUGUACUAUGGAAGGAAUGCAAAUUUGCAGCAAUGCCCAGUGUUUCACACAAAUAGAUAUCGUCAAGAUCAAGUAUCCAAGAAGGCUCCUUAUAAAGUACUACGACAUAUUCCACGGAAGCCAAGGUUCGCGAGGAUGUUCAAAUGCAAAGAGUUGGCAAAAUAUAUGAAUUAUCAUGCACAUGGGAGUAGCCAAGAUGGUGUCAUGCAUAUGGCCGCAGAUAGCAAACAUUGGAAAGAGAUUGAGGAAAAAUGGCCACAUUUAAGUAAUGAGCCAAGGAAUGUAAGAAUUUCUUUGGCAAUGGAUAGUGUAAAUCCUUUUCGAGAUCUUAGAACAACAUUUUUUGUUUGGCCAGUUUUAAUUAUUAACAACAAUCUUCCCCCCUUUAUGGCAAUGAAAAAGGAGCAGGCAAUGUUAACUCUUAUCAUACCAGGUACUAGAAUAUAUGAAUGCAAUGAUUUCUUGAAGAUUAUAUUAAAAUAUUUUAAUUUAGUUAAAACUCUGAUAAAAAACUUUUUCUUUACUUAGGGAAGUAUCAGGUAAAGGAUAUGGAUGUAUACAUGGAGCCCCUCAUUGAUGAGCUUCAUGAAUUAUGGGAUGGUGUAAAUAUGCUUGAUGUAUCAAGACCUAUCAAUGAUAGAAACUUCCUCUUUCAUGCUAUGCUUAUCUGGACAAUUCAUGGUGCCCCAGGGCUCUCUAUUUGUUGUGGUAAUAUAUUAUAAAUUAUAUUUGUAAUUAUUGUGUCCAUUGUACCAUUUAGUAAAUGUGGUUUCUAUUCUUAUUUCAAGGCUACAAACAAAGGGGAAACAUGGUUGUCCAUCAUGUGCGCCAAAAAUGUUGUAUAGGCAGUCAAAGGAUCUCAAUAAAACUGUAUAUGAUGAGUAUAGACAAUUCUUACCACAAAAUUAUCGCUAUCGGGUGCGUGAGAAAAAUAACUUCAAUGGAAAGGAAGUGGAAAUGAGGAAGCCAAGAAUGAUGAACCUUGCUAGGUGGAAAGCACUGUAUGAUAGAAAAGAAGGGACGAGCUUUCCACCAGGAAUGAAAAGACUCUAUUUUUCAACAAAUUAGACUAUUAUAAGAACUUGCCAAUAUCCCACCUAUUUGAUACUAUGCACAUCGGGAAAAAUGUGGCAAAGUGCUUGUGGAAACAUCUAAAUGGAACCAACCUUGAAGCACAAAUAAAGUUACGAAAGGACCUCCAAGUUGCCAAUGUCAAGCCAAACAUGUGGUUGCAUGAAAACAACUCAUAUAAUCAUGCUCCGUGGACUUUUACAUCAAAGGAGAAAGAAAACAUCAUUGAUACAAUGAAAAGCAUAAGAUUUUCUUCUGGCUUUGGUGCAACAUUAAAAAACUUAUUCACGAGAAAUGGAUCAGAGUUCUCAGGCCUAAAAACACAUAAUUGGCACAAUUGGAUAAAGGUAAUUUUGUAGUACAUUUGAUUUGUUGGAAACAUAAUUAUAAAUUUAUAUAUCCUAGUGAUAAUAUCAAUUCAUGUAUAUUUUUAACAUUGUUAUUUGUUAAUGGUCAUGCAGUAUGUGUUGCCUGCAGCAAUACCAAGCACUUUUGAUCGUGAUUUUAGGUUAACUAUUUACAAACUAUCCAAAUAUUUGAGGUAUUUUGAAUCAAUCAUUCCUACUCUUCCAUGACUUACAGUUUUGAAGUAAUCAUAAGUCUUUAUUGUAAUACAUGUUGAUACUUGUAGGUGGGUCUCAUCUAAAGAGAUACAUCCGGAUGACUUGAAGUAUUGGAAAAUGAAUGUUUCACUUUUGAUGUGUGAUAUUCAAAUGUGCUUCCCUCCAAGCUUUUUUAAUUUUCAAGAGCACUACCUUGUAUCCCUAGUAGAAGAGAUUGAACAAUGUGGUCCCAUUCAUAUUCGAACAAUGUGGCUUGUGGAGAGAUAUAUGAAGGUUUUAAAACAAUUUGUUAGGCAAAAGGCUCGACCAGAAGGGUCCAUGGUUGAGGGGUACAUGGUUUUCCAAGCGAUGGUUCAUUUGAGUGAGUACUUACCUUAAUUGCAUCUCGAAGCUCCUCGAUUAUGGAAUUAUAACCAACCUCAAUCAUUUGAAGGAGAAAAAUUAGAGGGUCAAGGGACUUCAAAGAGGAUAAAAGGUAUACAAAAAUGUUGGAAGUAGUUGUUUUUAUCUUAAAUUUUAUAAUACAUGCUUUUAAAUAAUUAUUAAUUCAUUGAACAAUUAUAUUUGUCAUUGUAGAUGCUAUAAGGAGUAGGAAACAUUACAUUUGUAUGUUGCAUACAAUUUCGACUUUAUGUUGGAAUGGAUGGAGAAGUACGCUGAACAAAAAAAUUAGAGGAUGAAAAGGCAUGGGCCAAUAUAUAUAAUAUACAUGGUCAAAACACUGCUCGAGGAUUGCCUACAAGACAUAAAAGAAAAUGGCCAGAGAGAUGCUCAUGGAAUUGGCUAAAGACCAAUAUUGAACAUGAGGCAACAAUAGGGAGGAAUAGAGUGACACAACAACAACUGAAUUUCGUGAAAGGAUCUAUAAAUGGGGAGGUGAUACAUACAUAGUAACAUAUUGGAGAGAUUUUAUAAAUCGUCUUUUAACUUUUGUAUUCUCGAAUCUAAUUAGCUAAUAUUUAUAUAAAUUUAGGUAACAUAUUACAAAGGAAUGUGGAAUUUUGGUCAUCACUUUCGCAUCAAAAAGGUUGAUGAAAAGAGACAAACUUAUGCUUGUAGAGUUUCAACAUCAUUUGAGGUGGAGAGUCGUUCACAUGCAAAUGAUAGACACCCAAUCACAAGCACACUUCGCUAUUAUGGAGUGUUGGAGGAUAUUAUAGAGCUUCAUUUUAUAUAUUUCAAGAAAGUUAUUUUUCAUGUUGAAUGGUACAAGCUUAUCAAAGUGGGUGAAGAAAAAUCUAUCUUUCUGCACAACAAUGGAUUCCAUAUGAUCAAUACAUCUAGGUUUGAAGCCACUUAUGAACCUUAUGUGUUUCCAAAUCAAUGUGACCAGAUAUUUCUCAUUCCAAAUUUAGAACAACCUGGCUGGUCAUUUGUGAUUGAUUAUGAUCCAAGAGGACGAAGAGUAACAUAUGUUGAAGACAAUGAAGAUGCAGAAGUCCCCCCUGAUGAUGAAAAUUGCGUAGAUGGAGAUGAUGAAAAUUUUAUUGUCAAUGAUGCAUAUGAUCAGGAUGAAGAUCAUGACGAGAUUAUUGAAGUGUUCGAAGGACAUGAGCAACCAGAUGGGCAUCAAGUCCAUGAAGAUGAUGAAUUUAUUGAUUUUCAUUUGCAUGUAGUUGAAGGUGAUGAAGAUCAUGAAAACGCUAGUAUUAAUUUAUUUGUAGAUUUAGGACCCAUUGAUGAUGGGGUAUUUAUGCCAUCAGAUGAAGAAAUUUCAUGCGAGGAUGACAUUAUUUGAUCACCAUGAUCACUUUAAGAAGGUUGUAAGGAUUUAAUACAAUUUAAUUAAUAUUUUACAAUUUAGGUCUCUAUUGGGACUGUUCAUACUGUCUUUUCUUUUCUUAAGGUCAAUUAGACCACAAAUGCACUAUUUUUGGUCUUUAUGAAUACUUAUUGGAAUCACUAUUUGUUGGUAUGAAGUCUCUUGUACAAAGUUACAAUCUUGCUUACCUAUAAUUUGUUCUAACCUUCCUUGUAAUGGCUUCCAUGGCAGUGACUGGUUCUUAUGACUACAAUUUUUUAAUGAUGUGCUAAUUGUCUCUAACUGUUAUGAAUGUUGUUAUCUUUGACAGUGAAUGUAUCUUUUGGUUUCACACAUUAUUCUUUAUUAAUGAGGGAUCACAUCUCUAAGACAUUCCUUUGGCUCUAUGACUGUUGAAGACAAAAUCUUGUGUUGUUCAUUGGGACUUGUUACAUGAUGUUCUCAUUAAGUACAUUCUGAUAUACUGUCAUAAUUCUGAAAUAGAAUGAAGAUUGAAAUACAAGUAUUCGUAAUGGUUGUCUUGUUUUUGGAUAUGCAUAGUAUACGCUUUCACAAAUACAUUUGUUGUCAAAGAUUGUUGCUUUUGCUCCUUCAUCAUGAUUGUGUGUGAUUGAGUCUAUUUUUCUAUGUUUGAACUUUCUAUUAGUGCUUUUGAAUGUCAUAUGAUUAUUAUUUUUCUUUAGAACUGCAACAAGGGUUGUCCCUAUGAUAAGUUGAGUGUGACACUUAUUUUUGCAACUUUCAUCCUAGGCAUAUGAUGUUGACAUGAUUUGAGAACAUUUCAAAUUCUUUGACUGCUAUUGUUUUUUAUUCAUUUCUGGCUGCAUUUCAUGGGGUCCUCUUAUAUCAACCUUAGUCAUGAAAUGGCUGUCACCAAUUGGCUGCACUGGCUGCUACAUCUUGUUUCAUAUUGUGCAUGAUAUUUGCUAUCCUUAUCAUUACAAUGACAAGAAUAUUCACUCAUUUCCUCUCAUACUGUAGCUGCUCUUCUCUCUUCAAACUGUCAAAAGCUCUUGACUUUGUCUUUGUUGCUAUAGAAUUGUGUGUGACUUUGACUUACUAAAAAGGCUUAUGAUUAUCAUAUGGUUUGUUUUUUACAUGCCUUUAUGAAGGUCUCAGGUUUGCAUUCUAAAUGAUUGGCAUAUUAUUCCUUUGAAGUCCUUUUGAUCUAGAUUGCUUAGAGAGUAUUGUGAAUGCUCAGUAUCUUGACACUUACUGUUAUGAAUAUUGUCCUUGAAGUGUCAUUCCAAACACCAUUCUUUGAGGUUCUUAGAAAGAUACAAAGUAAGCAUGCUAUGUGAUUUUUAUGGCUACUAAUCUGCCCUUAAUAUUGUUGUCGACUGAGAUUUGGUAUGGAUUAAAUCCUUAUGCCUUGUGAUAUUAUAAUCUUUUUUUGCAUUUUCAAAUUUUGUAGAGUAUGCAAAAUAUUUACUAGUGACCAUGGGUACUCGACGCAUACGUUUUCUAAUCAACAUUUUCUUAUUUUUAUGUCAUUAUGUGCCUUUUUAAGAAUAUGGGCAUGGGUGCGACCAAUUCUUCUAUGGGGGAUCCUUUGUUCUUAAAUGCUUUGAUUGAUAUGUUAAAAAAUGGACAAGGGAAACAAAUUACUAUGAUGGUGCAUGAGGCCAUCUCAAAAGUAACUCCAUCUUGUGUGAAUCUUGUUGGCAUGAAGGAUCCAUCUGUGCCCUCCAAUACAUCUACUAUUAUGGUAGAGGAUGUCUCAAGGAUUACUCCAACAAACACUAAUGUUCCUAAUGUGGGUUCAGUCAGAGUUCUCCCACCAACAUCCGAACAAGUUUCCUUGAGGAGUCUCAUAGAUUCUCAAUCAAGAAUACUAAGGCUCCUACCAGAUACUCCUAAAGAUGUUCCAAUCAGACAAGAAAUAAGUGAACAAAUUUAGUUAUGGGAAAGGGCAUUAUUUGAGAGUCCAGGGCCUACCUCAAAUGAACAGGAAAUAAAUGACAAAGUGGUUGAUGCAACUAUAGCAGCAUCUACCUCAACCCAGAGGACUACAACAAUAUCCUCAGUGACUACAAAAGGAAUGCAAGAAGUUACAAUCUUGCUCACCUCAGAAGGAAAUGUCUUGAAGGAUGAAGUGGGGUUAAAAUUCUUUCACUUUAAUUUUCAUCGUGCUGAACAAUUAUUUGGAAAUACAAUUCAAAUAGAUUGGAGGAAGCAAUCCAAUGCUAAGAAAGAUGAACUCUUUAAAGAUGUCAUAACAACAUUUGGAAAUUUAGGUUUCCAUAAGGAAAUUAUUGUAGAUAUUGCACGAAAAUACAUGCACUCUAAACGAGACAAUUUAAGGUCAAAGUUGACAAAAGACUUGAGAUAUCCACGUCCAGCUUGGAUCACAGACCAAGUGACAUGGGAAGAACUUAUGAAAGAUGCCAAAUUUAAGAGGAAGGUUGAGAAUAAGCCAAACUAUAGGUCAUCUGCAUGAGGAGGAUUGAGAAGAUGCCUUCGAGAUACAACAAAAGCAACCCAAGCUAGGGUGUCAAGUAUUGGAUCCCAUAAAUUAGGAUCUAGUGGGUACAAUAGCAUUCAUGGUGGUUUGGUUCACCAUUUUCAAAAGGAAGCUUCAGAGGAGGACCUAAAAUAUGCUUUAUUACAUGGUUCCCAAGGUCUACGACAACAUAUGCUAGAUCGAGGGAAGAAAUUAGUGAGUGGUCAUGAAUCUGAGGAAGCCCAACAAUCAAACUCAUCAGGUAGUGAGCAUGAAGAGGAGCUAGAGGAUCAUGAUGAAUUGUUUGUUGCACACAAUGAUUCGACUGUCAUUCCUCAAACUCGGGAGAAAACCAUCUUUGAAUUUUAGCAAGUGGGAGACAACAAUAUUAAGGAGGGUAUUCAAUGUGAUGAACAAUCCACACCCACAAUCAGAAAAGUGCCUCGUAGAAAGGGGACAAAAAGCAAGAGGAUGGAUAGAAACAAAUAAACACAAGACAUAUUUGCUUCCUAUCAUUGUUUAGAAUUCAUUACUAUUAUAAACCUAAUUUAUAUAGCAUCAUAUAAGUUACUGGAAUACUUGUGAAUUUAUUCACUUUUACAAAUGGAUUUCUGAUUUCACUUCUAUUUUCUAUUGAAUAGUACAUUAUUCCCAAAUAUGGUUGAGAAUAAAGUUUGGUAUUUUUUGGGUAUCUCCCUCAAGUCAUAUUUAAAUGCUUUAGAGUUCUAAUCUGACUGUUAAAUUGAGUUUUUUGUGGAUCAACAAAGGCUAAACUUCACGACUAACUCAAAUUUAGGACUUAGUAUUAUGUUUGGUUGGUGUUAUUAUCUUUGGCUACAUCUAUUCUGUAAAAAGAAUCAUCAAGAUUUAUAAUCUUCUAAAAAAGGAUUGUUCCUUAAAUAUUUUCUAGUUGUAAGUUUCUUGUGAGCAAUUAUCAAGAUUUCUAAGCUUCUAAAAAGGUAUGGUUCCUUAAAUAGAAUGCCAUGGCUAUGUAUCAAUAUUUAUAUGUAUCUAAUGAUGGAUAUGCAAUGCAAGAUGAAACACCAUAGAUAGGCAAAAACCCUCAAGAUCAUCCUGGGAUGAUUCAGGUACUGGAUUAUUACACUCUGUCAAUACCUGAUGAGAAUGUUGUUUGUUAGUAAUUCAUGCACUCUUGAAUGUAUUUUCUUUUCUUUUUUUAAUCAUGCUUGUCAUCAUUUUGCAAAGGCCACAGGUUACCAAUUUCUUGUUUUUGUUUUUCAUUUCAAGUAUUCUUAGGUCAUAUUAGGGCACUUGACAUUGUUGGAAAUGAACUACCCCGCUUAGUUUAUGUAUCUCGUGAAAAGAGGCCUGAUUUCCAACACGACAAGAGAGUUGGUGCAAUGAAUGCAUUGGACACUACAAUUUGAUUAGGGUUUUAACAGUGGAUGGCGCCGACCACAUAGCUAGAGUCUCUAUUUCCACCCUUCAUGCCAAGCACAUUGCAGAACUGGUUUUCCAGGCCAGGUUUAGAGAUUUCAAAAACUUUUUAUUCCAAUACAACAACAUCAGCAUAGCCCCA